rnacentral:lncRNA from 1 species
UUUGAACAAGUUGGUUGUCUUGAGCCUUUCCUCCACCCCAUAUGACGAGUAGCAUUUCUUGACUUCCACAAGUCUGCAAAGGGAACUAGCCUUUUUCUUGAUGGUGGAUCAUUGUUAUCACAAAAAAAAUGAUAUUUGUGUGCCUUAUCCAGCUGGUUCUUUUCGGCUUGGUGCCAAAAGUAAAUGCCUUUUAAUUUGAUCAAGACACCCAAGGGAUAGAAAUCCUUCUCCAAGUGAAGUAUGGAUUAAACUCCUUAUUGAUUCGGAACUGGUGGAUCAUCCAGUGAAGUAAACUUCUUGUCCACAUAGGAUUGGGUUGUCUUCCUUAUAAAAAGGAAAACAUGUGUGCACCAGCAAACAGCCACAAAACGAAAGUCUUAACAUUAUUCUUCGUUUGCUUCUCCAGACCAGCACAUAGCUUUGCUCAAGCCACCUGUUGCACCAUCAAACAGAAGAGGAUUUCACGUGGUAACCCACAUGCCAUUCCUUAGUUCUUCUCUUUUAUUUGAUUGAACUAACUAAAAUUUUUUUUGGCAUGGGCAGCAAUAGCAGUAGCAAUUGAAGAGCCUCCAAUUAAUUGGAUGCUUUCGGGCUGACUUGGAACCAAAAGAGACAACUUCUCUUAUUGUCCUUUGUGUGCUGUAACCUUCCCAAGGUCAAUAACCCAAGACAAAGGGAAAGAGAAAUCAUCUUGCCUUUCACGUGGUAACCCACCCCUUGAACUCCCUUUUUUUUUCCAUUGAUUUUUUUCUUUUGCCUGUUUCCAUGUUUCUGACCUCUUGUCUUCUCUUUUGUAUGUAGAGGCUGUGCUGCCAGCUUGAAGGCUUUGGAGUUUGGUGGAGGAAAC